rnacentral:misc_RNA from 1 species
GAAAUGCGAUAAGUAGUGUGAAUUGCAGAAUUCAGUGAAUCAUCGAAUCUUUGAACGCACAUUGCGCCCUAUGGUAUUCCGUAGGGCAUGCCUGUUCGAGCGUCAUUUACACCUUCAAGCCUUGCUUGGUGUUGGGUGACUGUGGCCCCUUUGGGGCCACUCGCCUUAAAGUCAUUGGCGGCCGGUUCGUUGGCUUUGUAGCGCAGCACAAUUGCGUCCUCGAAGCCGCUGGACCAGCUCCCAGAAGCUAAUUUUAAAUAUUUGACCUCGAAUCAGGUAGGGAUACCCGCUGAACUUAAGC